rnacentral:lncRNA from 1 species
CAUCCACCCUGACAGGUCCAAGAGAGUAGGAACUGUCUCCUCCCUGACACCCCUUUGUAAAAACCAGGAAAUCUUUCCUCUCACAUUUUACUGGCCAGGACACAUGCCCACCCCUUAACUUGUCACUGGCAAAGGAGGCAGGUUUACCAUGAAUGGCUUUCACUAACCAGAAUGGAGCUCUUCCCACAGCAGAUGGCUGUGCAGAGGAGAGUGGGCAACAGAGGCCGGGGGCUUCUCUUGCCAAGGAGAAGAUGGAGAAGCCUGUGGGCCCCACUGCCACCAUCUGCCCCAGCCUCUCAUAUCCCUUCUGCCUGGGUGCCUGCCUCAGUGUCCCUUUAGUCCCUCUUUCGGUCUGUCUUGAGGGGAGGCCAUGGCCUGUGAGGGGUAUCAUUUAGGCUCUCUGUGUUCAUUUCCUGUGGCUGCUGUAACAAAUCGCCACAAACUGGGUGGCUGAAAGCAACAGAAAUCAAUUCCCUCACAGUUCCGGAGGCCAGAAGACCCCAGUUGUUUUUCCUCCUGUGCCUUCUGACGACAGGAAGGCAUAUUAUCUCCCCCCAGCCAGCUCCCGGGAGGUGUGUGCAACUGCAUUCCAUUUUGCUAUCUGUUUAAUUAUCCAUUCAGCCCAGCUUACACUAAAGCUCUUUCUCGUUUAUUCACAGCCAGAUCUGCUCUGGAAUGCAGCAAAGAGCUCCUUCCUGCUUUCUCAGCCCCUGCAGCAGCUCCUGCUUCACUCCAAGAAAAUGCCAGCCCCCUAAGAACCUGUCCCUUUGGAACAGUGGAUCCAAAAGCUGACCCAAGAGACCUUGAACUUAACACCUCUGUGUCAUGGGCUCCUUAAUGAUAGAAAGAAGAUUGCUUUAGAAGACUGGUUUGCAAACCAGUCUGCUGGGCACUAGAAGCCUUGGGAAGAUUUGAAAAAUAAAUCUUAUUGGCCUCACCAUUUCAUUUCCCAUUUCAAAAACCUUCACAUCUUUUCCUACAAUUGUACCAAUUGUACAAUAGGGGCAAUCCAAAGAGCCUGUGAGAAGGUUAAAUGAGAUAGCAUAUGCUUAUUACCUGGCAUGAAGUCAUGGGACAGAAGGAAAGCUUCUUUCUGUCUUCUCUGAUGUUUUGCUGAAAUGACUGACAGUAGACAGAUUAAUAGGAGAAAAAGGCUUAAAAAUUUAUUUACGUAUAUGUAAACAUGACAGUCCUGAAAAUGUGAGAUUCAAAGAAGGCCCAGAUGCUUGAGGCUUCAAUACCCUCUUGAUAGGG